AACGGCCGUACCAUGCUGAAUAUACCGGUUCUCGUUAGAUCACAGAAGUCAAGCAUCAUUGGGCGGGGUCAGUACUUGGGUGGGUGACCACCACCUGAGAACAUCGCGUGCCGUU
rnacentral:rRNA from 1 species